rnacentral:rRNA from 1 species
CGGCGGACGGGUGAGUAAUGCUUAGGAAUCUGCCUAUUAGUGGGGGACAACGUUUCGAAAGGAACGCUAAUACCGCAUACGCCCUACGGGGGAAAGCAGGGGCUCUUCGGACCUUGCGCUAAUAGAUGAGCCUAAGUCAGAUUAGCUAGUUGGUGGGGUAAAGGCCUACCAAGGCGACGAUCUGUAGCGGGUCUGAGAGGAUGAUCCGCCACACUGGGACUGAGACACGGCCCAGACUCCUACGGGAGGCAGCAGUGGGGAAUAUUGGACAAUGGGGGGAACCCUGAUCCAGCCAUGCCGCGUGUGUGAAGAAGGCCUUUUGGUUGUAAAGCACUUUAAGCGAGGAGGAGGCUCCUAUAGAUAAUACCUAUAGUGAGUGGACGUUACUCGCAGAAUAAGCACCGGCUAACUCUGUGCCAGCAGCCGCGGUAAUACAGAGGGUGCGAGCGUUAAUCGGAUUUACUGGGCGUAAAGCGUACGUAGGCGGCUUUUUAAGUCGGAUGUGAAAUCCCUGAGCUUAACUUAGGAAUUGCAUUCGAUACUGGGAAGCUAGAGUAUGGGAGAGGAUGGUAGAAUUCCAGGUGUAGCGGUGAAAUGCGUAGAGAUCUGGAGGAAUACCGAUGGCGAAGGCAGCCAUCUGGCCUAAUACUGACGCUGAGGUACGAAAGCAUGGGGAGCAAACAGGAUUAGAUACCCUGGUAGUCCAUGCCGUAAACGAUGUCUACUAGCCGUUGGGGCCUUUGAGGCUUUAGUGGCGCAGCUAACGCGAUAAGUAGACCGCCUGGGGAGUACGGUCGCAAGACUAAAACUCAAAUGAAUUGACGGGGGCCCGCACAAGCGGUGGAGCAUGUGGUUUAAUUCGAUGCAACGCGAAGAACCUUACCUGGUCUUGACAUAGU